GGAGAAUUCUGUUAUCCCCAAAUAUGAGGGGGUUUCUCCCCAUCAGCAAGCAGCCCAUCAGUUCUGCAGUGGACACCAGCUGGUUGCCCUCCGAUUCAAUUCUGACAUCGUCUACUGGAAGAUAGUGUCAGAUCCCACAGGUCUGACUCUACAGAGACCACAGAUUCUUUGAGUUGCAAGGAAUGAAGAGGUCACUCAACCUAGUUCAAGCGAUGAGGUUUAUGGUGAAGAAAUUGCAAAGCAGUGAGAGUGAUGGAAACUUCUGGAAAACAGGAUUGUGGAGUAGCCAGGCCUGGAAGAGACUGGAACCAGGUAUCAUCCUGAGUCCAGGGCAGCUCAAGGCACCUCAGGGGCAGAGCAUUUUCCCCACUGAAGACAGGACCCUUGCUAGUUUCUAAUUCAGGCCUCAAGAGCAAGAAGCUGACCCGCCCCUCCUGGCAGGCAAAGCACAUCACCCAGGCGCCCCAGGGCCCUGCCAGCCUGCAACCAAGCUUCUUAGUCAGGCUAGGUGUGCCCCAGCUUUCUAAACACCUGGGGCCAGGAAGGGGCAGG
rnacentral:lncRNA from 1 species